GUACUCACUUUAGCAGUAUAUGUACUAAAACUGGAAUAUUACUGAGAAGUUAGCCUGGUCCCUAAACAAGGAUGGCAUGCAAAGUAAUGAGGGCUGGAGAGAUGGC
rnacentral:snRNA from 1 species